GACGAACGCUGGCGGCGUGCCUAAUACAUGCAAGUCGAACGCUUCCUUCCUCCCGAGUGCUUGCACUCAAUUGGAAAGAGGAGUGGCGGACGGGUGAGUAACACGUGGGUAACCUACCCAUCAGAGGGGGAUGACACUUGGAAACAGGUGCUAAUACCGCAUAACAGUUUAUGCCGCAUGGCAUAAGAGUGAAAGGCGCUUUCGGGUGUCGCUGAUGGAUGGACCCGCGGUGCAUUAGCUAGUUGGUGAGGUAACGGCUCACCAAGGCCACGAUGCAUAGCCGACCUGAGAGGGUGAUCGGCCACACUGGGACUGAGACACGGCCCAGACUCCUACGGGAGGCAGCAGUAGGGAAUCUUCGGCAAUGGACGAAAGUCUGACCGAGCAACGCCGCGUGAGUGAAGAAGGUUUUCGGAUCGUAAAACUCUGUUGUUAGGGAAGAACAAGGACGUUAGUAACUGAACGUCCCCUGACGGUAUCUAACCAGAAAACCACGGCGAACUACGU
rnacentral:rRNA from 1 species